rnacentral:tRNA from 1 species
GGGUCUGUAGCUCAACUGGGAGAGCGCUUCCUUCGCACGGAAGAGGUAACCGAUUCGACUUCGGCCAGAUCCACCA